rnacentral:rRNA from 1 species
UACAGAGGGUGCAAGCGUUGUUCGGAAUUAUUGGGCGUAAAGGGAGUGUAGGCGGCACGACGAGUCUUCUGUGAAAUCUACAGGCUUAGCCUGUAACGGGCAGAGGAAACUGUCGCGCUUGAGGGUCCGAGAGGGUGGCGGAAUUCCCGGUGUAGAGGUGAAAUUCGUAGAGAUCGGGAGGAACACCGGUGGCGAAGGCGGGUCUCUGGGCAUCUCCUGACGCUGAGGCGCGAAAGCGUGGGGAGCAAACGGG